CCGUGGACCCCGCGCGGCGUCCAUCCUGUGAACUCCCCCAGGGCCGGAAGGCAGCAAGGGUCAACGGGCUCUGGC
rnacentral:SRP_RNA from 1 species